GACGAACGCUGGCGGCGUGCUUAACACAUGCAAGUCGAACGGAGUGGCGAACGGGUGAGUAACACGUGGGUGAUCUGCCUUGCACUUCGGGAUAAGCUUGGGAAACUGGGUCUAAUACCGGAUAGUGCAAGAUGAGCUCGGGGCCUAUCAGCUUGUUGGUGGGGUAAUGGCCUACCAAGGCGUCGACGGUUAGCCGACCUGGGAGUGUGUACGGCCACAUUGGGACUUGGAGACGGCCCAGACGCCUACGGGAGGCAGCGGUGGGGAAUAGUGCACAAUGCGCGGAAGCCGGAUGCAGCGACGCCGCGUGGGGGAUGAAGGCCUUCGGGUUGUAAACUCCUUUCGACAGGGACGCGGUACCUGUAUAAGAAGCACCGGCUAACUACGUGCCAGCAGCCGCGGUAAUUC
rnacentral:rRNA from 1 species